CGCGGCCUAUCAGCUUGUUGGUGGGGUAAUGGCCUACCAAGGCGUCGACGGGUAGCCGGCCUGAGAGGGUGGACGGCCACAUUGGGACUGAGAUACGGCCCAGACUCCUACGGGAGGCAGCAGUGGGGAAUAUUGCACAAUGGGCGCAAGCCUGAUGCAGCGACGCCGCGUGGGGGAUGACGGCCUUCGGGUUGUAAACUCCUUUCGUUAGGGACGAAGCCACACCUUUUUUUGGGUGUGGUGACGGUACCUUUGUUAAGAAGCACCGGCUAACUACGUGCCAGCAGCCGCGGUAAUACGUAGGGUGCGAGCGUUGUCCGGAAUUACUGGGCGUAAAGAGCUCGUAGGUGGUUUGUUGCGUCGUCUGUGAAAUUCCGGGGCUUAACUUCGGGGUGGCAGGCGAUACGGGCAUAACUAGAGUGCUGUAGGGGAGACUGGAAUUCCUGGUGUAGCGGUGGAAUGCGCAGAUAUCAGGAGGAACACCGAUGGCGAAGGCAGGUCUCUGGGCAGUAACUGACGCUGAGGAGCGAAAGCAUGGGGAGCGAACAGGAUUAGAUACCCUGGUAGUCCAUGCUGUAAACGGUGGGCGUUAGGUGUGGGGACCGGUUUGGUUUCUGUGCCGUAGCUAACGCAUUAAGCGCCCCGCCUGGGGAGUACGG
rnacentral:rRNA from 1 species